rnacentral:lncRNA from 1 species
AUGAAUGCAUUAUUUUUCUGCCAGUUGUUUUUUUUUUUUGUUUUUGUUUGUUUGUUUUUUAAGAGAUACAUUUUAUUUAGAACUUCCUUACUUUGGAAUAAUAAACUAUUUCACUGUAUAAUCAUUUCCACUCAGAUUAUCAUAUUCCAUUCCCAAAGAUGGCAUUUGCUAUCUGCAUUGGUAUCAUCUGCAGUGCUAUGCAUCAUUGAGCUCUAUGUGAUUAUUCAACAGGGAAGAAUAAAACAUCGUGUAUCAUCUCAAAGUUGUAGAAACAACCCAAAGUGCUAAAUAUUUCUAUGGACGGUUCAUGUAUCAUACACUUGUUAGCAUACUGUAAAGUCGUUUUACCUCAGAAACUUGCUGUAUUAAAUAUAUUGAAUGAGAUGAAGCUCCACCUCCUCUCUAAUACUCAACUUACAUUCAAUGCAACCUCAUGAGGUGCUUUUCUUCCCUUCUCAUCCAUCCCACUACUUAUGAAGAGUAAGGAUGAAAGUAAAGUUUAUAGAUAAAAAGACCCUACAAGCACUCAUUUUUACAGAAAGGUAUGACAGAACUCAGUUUCUGCUUUAGCCCCACAGUAAGACCGUCCAUUUUAUCACAUUGCUAUCCAAAGGGAAUAGCAUACACUAGCCAUUAGAGAGAAUUAGAAGUCACAUCCAAGUCCGAAUGGCCGUAUUUCUAGACCUAUGGUUCACAAGUUCUGUCAUAUUAAGAGCUACCUUUUCCUCUUUUGCCAGGGAAAAGCCACUUUUGUCUGACAGUUCAAGGAUCAUAACUUCAGCAGCAAAAGAUUUUCUUGUUCUUUCCUCCACUCCCAGCUGCUUGCCCUGCACACCUCACAUUGCCUUCAGCAGCACUUCUGAAACAGGCUGAGCAAAGCUGUGAAAAUACCAUACAACAUCCCACUCACUUCCCUCACUUGCCCUAGGCUACCAGUUUCUUCAUAUCUUUUCUGACUGGCAAGCUAGUUCCAACUGGAGAGGUAACAGUGCCCUUGAUUAACCCUUUCUGAGCUAAUUAGACUGAGUACCUGCAUUUAUGUGGGCAUGUAAAUGCAUACCUACCUAUCUGAAUAUAUGUAUGCACGAGGAAGGAAACUCGGCGCCUUUUGUAUUCCAUAAAUCCCCCAAGAAUGCCAAAGUAUUCUGCAUUCUGAUACCAGCUUUACCACACAGCUUUCACUGUUAAUAGCUGUUUAGAAUGAGAAAAGAAGGAAAAAAAAAAGAAAAAAGUGAAGUCAUCAUGGUGCUUUAACACUGUAAUGGUGUACCUGCUAUUCUUCACUACUUCAGCGUGGAAUAUAUCACAAUUUGAUGUUCUAGGUAGAAAUUAUGAAAUAUAAUGGAAGCAAAGCAAACAACAACAUUUUUUAAAUGUUGCUAAAUUGACAUUAUCCUUUACAGACUGAAUUGUUGCUGGCAGGUUACUGUUAAAUCAAUCCUUCUGUAUCUCUCUAAAAUCACAGUUUCUGUGAGUGUAGAUAUGUUUUCCAGGGUUAGGACCCUAGCUUCCUUGUUUUCAAAUGUGAAUUCAGAAUUUAUAACUCUAAUGAUUUCAUUUCUCUUGCAGCUCAGCAAUAAAUGAUGCAGUCACCUGCA